CUAUAGACUACAGAUGCUGGAAUGCUCUGUAAUCGAAAGUUCCGACGCCUUAGGAUGGAUCUGCGGCCGAUUAGGUUGUUGUCGGGGUAAUGGCCCAACAAGCCAGUGAUCGGUACGGGUUGUGGGAGCAAGAGCCCGGAGUUGGAUUCUGAGACACGAAUCCAGGCCCUACGGGGCGCAGCAGGCGCGAAAACUUUACAAUGCGGGCAACCGUGAUAAGGGAACCUCGAGUGCCUGUAUAUGCAGGCUGUCCAGGUGUCUAAAACACACCUGAAGAAAGGGCCGGGCAAGACCGGUGCCAGCCGCCGCGGUAAUACCGGCGGCUCGAGUGGUGGCCACUUUUAUUGGGCUUAAAGCGUUCGUAGCUGGGUUGUUAAGUCUCUUGGGAAAUCUGGCGGCUUAACCGUCAGGCGUCUAAGGGAUACUGGCAAUCUUGGAACCGGGAGAGGUGAGGGGUACUUCGGGGGUAGGAGUGAAAUCCUGUAAUCCUCGAGGGACCACCUGUGGCGAAGGCGCCUCACCAGAACGGCUUCGACAGUGAGGGACGAAAGCUGGGGGAGCAAACCGGAUUAGAUACCCGGGUAGUCCCAGCCGUAAACGAUGCGCGUUAGGUGUAUCGGUGACCACGAGUCACCGAGGUGCCGAAGGGAAACCGUGAAACGUGCCGCCUGGGGAAGUACGGUCGCAAGGCUGAAACUUAAAGGAAUUGGCGGGGGAGCGCCACAACGGGUGGAGCCUGCGGUUUAAUUGGACUCAACGCCGGAAAUCUCACCGGAUAAGACAGCUGAAUGAUUGCCGGGCUGAAGACUCUGCAUGACUAGCUGAGAGGAGGUGCAUGGGCCGUCGUCA
rnacentral:rRNA from 1 species